AGCAAUCACUCAAAUGGUAUGAUAAUCAUACUAUAUAUCCAACAACUAUGCCACAAUGUUUGUUGCAUACGUUUUUUGCAAUUUGAGGUUUGCCUUAUACUUCUGAUUUUCGCGUAUAAAAAGGGUAUAUAAUUAGCUUUAUACAGUGUCGAGGUGUUAAAAUUUAUGAAAUUAUUGUUUACCGGUCUAUAGAAAUUCGAAUAGUAUUGUUGGACAAUUCAGAACCGAUGGGAAAGGGAAAAGCAAGCAAGCGAGAGAGAAAUAGAGGGGAGAUUACCAUCCGCAAGCCAGCAUUUGAUUCGUAUUAAUUAACCGAUGGCCAGUGUGGCGGCCAGCGGGCCUCUGAUCGUCGGAUAAUUAUUACCGAGGUUACGAGUGUACAUGUGCAGCGAGCCGGAUAACGACGACGACCAACAGACAGCGAGAGGGAGAGAAGACCACCUCCGGCGCUCUAUUUCGGCUGUCAGCAAGGGUAGACACGGAAAAUCCUUGUCACUAUUGAAAUGGACGAAGUCAACAUAUACGAUAUCAAAUAAUACCUAAAAGUUAACGCAACUAAAGGAAAAAUAACGACUCGACUGCAGACAUACAUAAGAAAUUCUCAGACGCACGCGUUAGGCCAGACAUACCGGCGUGGGUAAGCAGACGAGCAGAAGGCGGAAAUAGGAAGGGGAAUCAGCACAUGGCUGGACUAUCCCCUCCAUCGCCUGACUAUUCGUGAGCUAAUGCUAGUUUCAUCUGGUACAUAGGAGCCGAGUAAAUUUUAGAAUCAAGUGACUGUAUAACCGUCAACGAAAGCUUCAAUCAAGUAUCCACAAUCUUAUAACGCGAAACCAGAGAGUGAAUGGAGAGGAAGUCAAGAGAAUAAAAAGCGAAAUAAAAUGUGUAAUCAAAGCAAAUGAACUUGAGUUUCGAAAAGAAGCGAAUAAAGAAUGGAGCACGCCAAUUGAAAAAAUUAA